rnacentral:rRNA from 1 species
GUGGGGAAUAUUGGACAAUGGGCGCAAGCCUGAUCCAGCAAUGCCGCGUGGGUGAAGAAGGCCUUCGGGUUAUAAAGCCCUUUUGUACGGGAAGAAAUCAUUAGGGUUAAUACCCUGGGUGGAUGACGGUACCGUAAGAAUAAGCACCGGCUAACUUCGUGCCAGCAGCCGCGGUAAUACGAAGGGUGCAAGCGUUAAUCGGAAUUACUGGGCGUAAAGCGUGCGUAGGUGGUUGUUCAAGUCUGUCGUGAAAGCCCUGGGCUCAACCUGGGAAUGGCGAUGGAAACUGGGCGACUAGAGUGCGGUAGAGGAUGGCGGAAUUCCCGGUGUAGCGGUGAAAUGCGUAGAGAUCGGGAGGAACAUCCGUGGCGAAGGCGGCCAUCUGGACCAGCACUGACACUGAGGCACGAAAGCGUGGGGAGCAAACAGGAUUAGAAACCCCGGUAGUCC